ACCAAUUGUUAAUCGACCGUCGUCACGAGCAGUAAUCGUUGGGUUUAGUGGAAAAGUUUUAAACAUCUGAAAGUGUAAAAGUGUGCAAAAAAAAGCCUUACUAAACGAAAACGCUUGUUGCUUUUUCUAACGCCAUAAAUAUUAAACAGUGAAAAUGAGUUCUAAAUCGUAUUUUGAGGAUUCGCGCGACGAAAGCCAAGGUGGAAAACUGUCCAGAAAAAUAAAGGAUUCGCCAUUCAUGAUUAUUGGUUUGGCUGGCUUCGUAGCGGCUGGCAUUAUUGGUGCUUAUAAAUAUAAGAACCGUGGCACAAUGAGCACCAGUGUUUUCUUAAUGCAACUUCGUGUUGCGGCGCAGGGAACCGUUGUCGGGGCGCUGACGUUGGGUCUCGGCUAUAGCAUGGCCAAUGAAUAUAUAUUUAACAAAACACCCAAAGAAAAGUAAUGAAUGCCAAUUGAUGAUUAUCUUAUUUAAGAAAUAGAGUUAAGAAAUUAAUGUAAUCAUGCACAUGCACACAUAAAUACAUACAUGUGCAAAUUAUAUGUAUUACAAAACAGUCUCAAUAAAAAUAAGCCACCUCUGUUUACAUAUAUGUACAAAUAUUCACAAUAACAAGCGAAAUGUGUGCAUCAAGGAUUUGCUGCAAAAUCUUACCAAACUGAAAUCCUCUUCAAUAGCUGAGACUCUCAUACUAUAACAAUUACAUAACAUAUAUACUAAAUAUUUUCAUACAUAAUUUUUAGCUAAAUGAUACGUACGAUAUAUGAUAAUUUCUACAUGUUAAGAAAAAAACAAAUGAUGGAUAUGAUAAAAUCACUUUACUUAGGAAUAAUGACGGCAUUAUAUUGCCUGUGAUAUGCAAACUAAUGAAUACAAAAGUUUACUGAACAGAGAUGCUAAAUAGCUAAUAUUGUAGUUUUGUAAUGUUGGAAUGAACUAUUUAUAAAAAAAAAUACAAGAAACAAACAUUUUUCGUUAAACGAUAUUAUAAAUAAACAAACGCUUACUUUUA